rnacentral:rRNA from 1 species
UACAGAGGUCCCGAGCGUUAGGCGGAAUCACUGGGCUUAAAGCGUGUGUAGGUGGAUCGUUAAGUACCUUGUGAAAUCCCACGGCUUAACCGUGGAACUGCUUGGUAUACUGGCGGUCUUGAGCCAGCUAGGGGCUACCGGAACAAAUGGUGGAGCGGUGAAAUGCGUAGAUAUCAGGAGGAACACCUGUGGCGAAAGCGGCUCACUGGACCAUAACUGACGCUGAUGCACGAAAGCUAGGGGAGCAAACAGG